ACGAACGCUGGCGGCGUGCUUCACACAUGCAAGUCGAACGGGCCCGCCCCUGUUUUUGGGGGUGGGUUGAGUGGCGAACGGGUGAGUAUCACGUGAGUAACCUGCCCCCUGCUCCUGGAUAACUGCUUGAAAGGGCGGCUAAUACGGGGUGUGCCGGCUGGUCCGCAUGGGCCUGGUCGGGAUAGUUUCAUCUUCGGGUGUUUCGGUGGGGGAUGGGCUCGCGGCCUAUCAGCUUGUUGGUGGGGUGAUGGCCCACCAAGGCGGUGACGGGUAGCCGGCCUGAGAGGGUGGGCGGCCACACUGGGACUGAGACACGGCCCAGACUCCUGCGGGAGGCAGCAGUGGGGGGUAUUGCACAAUGGGCGGAAGCCUGAUGCAGCGACGUCGCGUGAGGGAUGGAGGCCUUCGGGUUGUGAACCUCUUUCUCCGGUGGUGAAGGCCCUGUCCGUUGCGGCGGGGUUGACGGUAGCCGGGGAUGAAGCGCCGGCUAACUACGUG
rnacentral:rRNA from 1 species